CCUGCGGCCAUGCUGGGCUAGGACAAGAGGCAGAGGCAGAGAGACAGAGAGGAGCCACCCUAAGAAGAGAGACCAGAUACCCUUUUCUCAUCCUUUGAGUUCAACAGAUGUCUCUUCUGGUUGCAAGUGACAGAAGCCCACACAGAAAAGGCUCAGACCAAAGAGAAAUUUAUGGGCUCCUGAAACCCCUCACAGUCUCAGACAGGAUUCUUUCAAGAAUUGCAAACUUGGCUGAAGACCUUCCUGUCCCCUUUCUUACCUCCCAUGUACAGGAUGGGGGUGAUGAUCCCACUUCUCUGACUCUCACCCAGAAGUUAGGAACUCCUUAAGGUCGGAAUUCCAGCAUAGGCCUCACUGGGCUAAAAUCAAGGCAUCUGAAUGGUGGUGCUUCUCUCCGGAGGCUCCAGGAGAAGAUGCUUCCUUGCUUAUUUGGGUUGCUGGGAGAAUUCAGCUUCUUUCAUUGUAAAACUGAGGUCCUCUUUUCCCCGCUGGCUGUCGGCUAAGGACCUUUUUUUUUUUUUGAGACGGAGUCUCGCUCUG
rnacentral:lncRNA from 1 species